AACGGGUUGGAGUAGUCAGGUUAUCUCGUCGGGCUCAUAACCCGGAGAUCGGUGGUUCAAAUCCACCACCCGUUACCA
rnacentral:tRNA from 4 species